CACGUAGGAGGCGAGCGUUGUCCGGAAUCAUUGGGCGUAAAGAGCGCGCAGGCGGCUUGGCAAGUCGGGUGUGAAAUCCCGGGGCUCAACCCCGUGACUGCAUCCGAUACUGUCAGGCUAGAGGUAGGUAGGGGAGAUCGGAAUUCCUGGUGUAGCGGUGAAAUGCGCAGAUAUCAGGAGGAACACCGGUGGCGAAGGCGGAUCUCUGGGCCUUACCUGACGCUCAGGCGCGAAAGCGUGGGGAGCAAAAGGG
rnacentral:rRNA from 1 species